rnacentral:rRNA from 1 species
UUUUGGACAAUGGGGGCAACCCUGAUCCAGCCAUCCCGCGUGUGCGAUGAAGGCCUUCGGGUUGUAAAGCACUUUUGGCAGGGAAGAAACAGCCUGGGCUAAUAUCCCGGGCGACUGACGGUACCUGCAGAAUAAGCACCGGCUAACUACGUGCCAGCAGCCGCGGUAAUACGUAGGGUGCAAGCGUUAAUCGGAAUUACUGGGCGUAAAGCGUGCGCAGGCGGUUCGGAAAGAAAGGUGUGAAAUCCCAGGGCUUAACCUUGGAACUGCACUUUCAACUACCGGGCUAGAGUACGUCAGAGGGGGGUAGAAUCCCACGUGUAGCAGUGAAAUGCGUAGAGAUGUGGAGGAAUACCGAUGGCGAAGGCAGCCCCCUGGGAUGAUACUGACGCUCAUGCACGAAAGCGUGGGG